CGGGGGCUCCAGCUGUGGCACAGCUGCCUCGGCGGGCGGACGGGGGUGGGGGGAGGAAGGGGGCAAGUUAUUAUCUGCAACAAUACCUCGGGGGAGGAGGCAGCGGAGGCGAGCGCGGCGGCGGCGGCGGGAGGAGGCGGCGAGGGGCGGGCCGGAGGCGGCACCGGGACCGCCCCGCACCGCCCGCCCCCGGCCCCGCCGCCGGCCCCUUCCUUCCGCCCGGCGGCCCCUUCCGCGCCCCUGCCCCGCGGCGUGCCCCGGGCCGCCCCUCCCGCGCUCCCGGCUCGGUAUCCCCGCGCCGCUCCCGCCGCGUCUCCCGGGCAGCCCCUCCCGCGCUCCGCCCCGCACAUCCCUCCUUCCUUCCCUCGCUGCCUGCCUGCCUCCGGUCCGUCAGCCUCCUCGCAUCCCCCCGGCCGCGCCGCUGCCGCCUCCCGCAUCCCUCCGGCCGCGCCCCCCCCGGCCCUUACCUCCCUUGGGGCGCAGGGAGGGGCGGCCGGCGGCCCCCAGCUCGGCGGGACGGCCCCGAAACAAAAAGCGAAAGCGGCGGCCGCUGCCUCCCGCUCUGCCGGGCUGCCGCGCUCUGCCCGCGGCUGACGUCAAGGGCCCAAAUUCCUGCCUUUCCCUGCAGGCAGAUUUGUCCAUUAGCUGUUCGGUAUCUACAUCUGCCCUGUAAAGAACGGGAAGACAGAAGGGUUACAUUGUAUUCAGGCUGUGGAGGGGAGCCUUGCCAAACCUUACUGAUUUGGAAAGAGAUUUCUGGAGGGAUCAUCUUGCAACUUCACCUGUGGAAACACAGCAGCUCAACUCUUUGAAUGUCCAUAACUCCAUCUGGGCUCUUUCCUGCUCUGCUUUUGUCCUAAGCAGAAUGGAUCCAAUGCCUUUCAGUUAAGAUCUUCCACUCAUUCUUUACAUUCGGGUAGGAACAACAAUCAACUCAGCCUUGCUUUAGCCACCUUGGUGUUGCCCACAGAUUCCUAGAUGACAUGGCCAUGCUGCCCAAAUGGUAGGAAGGCCCUGAUGGAGAAGCUGUAUAUCACAAGGCAACAUUUGAGAGCACCCAGACUCUGUCCCCAGCACCCAGAGCAUUGCAUUGGUUAAUACUGUUGGUGUUGAGCACCACCUGCAUGCUCUGCACAGGGAUCUGGGACUGGUACACACCCUGCAUCAAGCCUCACCCCACAAUGAGACAGGCAGGCAAAUGAGAAAAUUGGGCCCUGGCCCUUUCCUGUGAUUAGGUCAUUAUAAUGGGUAAAUAUUUUCCUAGAUAGACAGCUGAGAUAAAGAACUCCUGAUGUCUGAAAGGGAGUUUGAACAAAACUUGGAAGGACUAUCUCUACGUUAUAAUUCUUUAUAAUGUGCUUUUACCAAAUAAAUGCCUUUUGCCCCUAAAGUACCCAGGGAAAUGUUUCACUGAAUAGCAAGAACAGCAUCUAGUCUACAGCCAAACUGUUCACCAGCAAAUAUAUAGAAUGGAUUUAGUGACAGGUACCAAAGAUUAUUCCCAGAGGACGUUACAGCUCUACACCAUUCAGUCUAAAUAUUUACUGAGGAGUACAGAAAAGUGAAUGGUAGAGGCAGAGUCCCAGAGAUUGGCUUAGAGGAAUCUGUUUAAUAAAAGCUUGUUUCUGCAGAGAAAAAUGAUUGUGAUUGUUUGUUAAUGAAAAUCAGUGUUCUCGUGCUAUAGCAAAUAGUGAUUAUUCAAUCUCUCUCCCUCUACUCUGCAUUAUUCAUGAUUUUGUGGCCUCUGCUCUAUCCUCUCCGUUGGUAUUCCAAUCUCACCCUCAGUUUUCUCUGGGUUUGGGAGCUUUUGUAUCAGAUAAACUGGUUCAUAAGGUAGUCUUUGAGGAACAAGUCUCGCUUAAAUCUCUCAUAAUAUCCAAGAAUGUUCUCCGGUAUUUGACCUCUUUGUGGAUGAAACAAUACUCUUCAGACACAAUAACCUUGGUGUUUCAAAGCUGUAACCAGCACCUGUGGAGUUUUCAAACAAAUAGGCUCAGUGUUCCUCGGUACAGUCUUCCUCACUGCUCCCACAUUUAAUUGCUUUGUAAUUAUACUUGUAAAACCUGCAAUGGGAUUACACAUGGGGAAAGAAAAAUAAUUUUAAAAAUCACACUUCAGAAUAGGAGGGGAUUUAUGGGAGCUGCAAGACAAAGAAAAACCCACCUUUAUUUCUUUCUUCGCUGUUGUCUUUGGAAGGCAGCCAUCAAAGUUUCCUUGUCAGUAAUACAGGGAUUUGUAAAUAGAACAAAGAGCUUCCUCACACCAAGGCACAUUAUAUAACCCAGCGCCGUCACCGUGUGUCUUCGCAGGCAGUUCCCUUGAACUUUGCAUCUCGCUCCUCCUGAGAACAGUCUUCCAUGCCAGCUUCAACAGAUGUGGCUUCCUUUAGGAAAGGUUUUCUGUUAGGGUCAUUCUGACUUCCCUUUCAGAGUUUUCCAGCCUCAUGCUCUUUGCUCAAGGGAUUACUGUGGUGGACACUAACUCCAUGUGCUACUGUUAAGCUUCUCCUCACCUGCUGGCUGAGCUGAAUGAGUGCUGAAACCUCUGUUCCACAGAAAAAUCUGACAUCUCAUGUUUUCCUGAAUCAGACCGGAAAGUUGCAAUUUCCUGUGAACCCAAAUUCUGAGAAACAUUUCAGAAAGUGCAAAAUGGCCCCAGCACAGCCUUUUGUUUGGGUAUUAUCUACAGGUUUUUAUGAGACUUAAGCUGGCUUUAAGCCCAUCAUGUUCCAAGUGAUUCCAAAUACAACCAGGCAGCACCCACUGCUCCCAAAGACACUCCAGCAGCUGUGGUGUCUGUCGAGGGUGCUUUGCAAGAGAGAGGUGACACAGAGCCAGUUGUGGUUUUCUCUUACCCCGUGCAUUAUUCUAGUAUUGCCACUCUUCAAUUCCACAAGUGCACUUACAGACUUCAGUCUUACAAGCAUUUUAAUUCUUAUUUUCCAGGCUCCUUAAAAACAAAGGCUUUUAUAGUAUACCUCUGAGGGUACAACUCAAUAGCUUGUACAGCCCUGGCAUGAUUAUUUCUGACACAUCGAGUGCAUAUUCCAUGGCACUAUUUUAAAAGUGGGCAGCUUUAAGACAUUUUAACUAAAUCAGGGCACAAGGCCAUGCAGACCCUCUUGUUAUCAAUAAAGCUGGUUUUUAAUCUCUGGUUGGUUAAAAGAGUUUUGUAAAUGAAUAAGGAUAAGACAUCCUACACCUGAUGUAGAUCACCAAAUGCAAAAUUUCACACUGGUUAAACCAGGGUAGUAUCAGCUUGUGUGAAGACAGCUUUGAAGCUGCAAAAGCAUAGUGGGAAAAGCAGCCCUGCCCUAUGAACAAGUGAGAAAAAACAAACAAAAGUAAACAGUGGAGCAAAAGCAGCUGCUAGCUGGUCUUCAUGGAAAAUGAAGAUUAAAAAAAAAAAAAAAAAAGAAAGAAAGAAAAAAGGAAGAAAAAAAGAGGUGGAGGAAGGAACAGAAGCAUACUUCAAGACCAAAUUCUCAUCAGACUAAAAAUCAGUGUUAACUCCCACAUUGCAACACUUUGCAGGUCUAAUAGACACAAAGCUGUUCCUUCACCCGAAAGCCAAACAUAAAAGUCACGGAAACCCAUCAUGCCAAUUCUGUGGCUGAUUUCCGGAGCAGAAUCUCUUUAAAUAUCAGUGUUCCCUUUGUUCUGUGCACCCUUUAUAAUGAGUCUAUCAUCUGUUUGGUAAAAGAUCCAGUGAAAUAUGUAAUAAGGUUAUCUCACCAUCUCUUUCCAUUGUAAAGUCAUAUCUCCUCUUCCACUCAUUAAUUAUUGUCUUCCAUUUCCUGUGUCAGAUGUGAAUCAGAAAAUAGGGACUCAAGGCUUGCAAGCUUAGCAAUUUACCAUAUAUUAGCUGAGCUGUGGUAACUCUCCAUGUGCUCCCUCUUAGCCCAUAAUAAACAAAGCCAGUGUGACUUUGCUGUACACAGGCCUGCAGUCGAUGCUGUUUGGAUUAACUUCCUUUUAUUGUCAGCAAAGUGGUCAUGACAGCGAUAGUGGCCAUGGCUCAGCUCAUGUUCAGUCCUCAUAUUGCAAGACUUUGUCUUUAAAUCCUGGGAGCAGAGCUCUACCAAUAUAACUAUCUGGAAAGCUACAAUGAUUUAUGUGCUGUCAACAUACACUAAAAAAAAAAAGGACAGAAAAGCAGCACAAUUACAUGAUUAUCAGCCAAUGCCCCUCGGUUUGCAGUUUUUCAAGCAUGAACUGCUCAAACUUUGGAUCAAGAAGUGAAGCAAUCUGUUUCUCAAGUGCAAACAGGGAAAAGUUAUAUGAGUCUUCUAGCAAUUUCAGGCAAAUAUAUCACAGAAGCAGCAUGCUUAGCCUUUUUACUGUGCAUCUGUCUGAGGUUUCCAGUAAGAUUUCCCUGAUAUAUAGUAAGAGUCAAAACUCUAAUCUCUUUUAGCUCUUUUUUAUUGUCUCUGCAGCACUAACUUUGAAAAAUGGCCUUGUCCCCAAAGAACUGCACACAGUCCGUGUAGGGAAGCUGUUAAAAUAAAUGCUUUACGUAAAAAAUAUUGCAGACGAACUUGGCUCUGAGGGUUUUAGAGCUACAACAUAUAGAUAUAAACCAGAGCAGCUAAGUAUGAAUGGAGGUCAUACUCCAGUAGAGAAGAAGGGAAGUCCCCUGUCAGUUGUUACACACAAUCUCUGAAAGCAACAAUUCCUUCUCUCCUUACUCAGGGCUGCAGAGUUUUAAUAAAUGACUAUUCUCAUGUUAAUGUCCUUCUGCCUUUCCCCCCCCCCCCCCCCCCCCAACCUCAAAACACACCAUGCUGUGAAAAAUGCAUAUUAUAUGAUUGGUUCUUUGCAAAUAUUAAAAUGAAUACUAUAUGUGUUAUGUUGGAAAGUUAUGUUGCAUUAAUCUCUUUUAAGUAGUGUAGUAACUAUGGUUUUUAGGCUAUAGCUUUAACUUUUGUUAAAAAUUUUAGAAGUUUACUAGUAAUGGUCUUCUUAUGAGCACCUCUCCCAGGAAAUAACAUGGGCUCAGAAAAAUUUACUGUACAGUAACACAGCAGUAUUCUAUGGGAG
rnacentral:lncRNA from 1 species